rnacentral:rRNA from 1 species
GACGAACGCUGGCGGCGUGCUUAACACAUGCAAGUCGAACGGAAAGGCCCUGCUUUUGUGGGGUGCUCGAGUGGCGAACGGGUGAGUAACACGUGAGUAACCUGCCCUUGACUAUGGGAUAACUUCAGGAAACUGGGGCUAAUACCGGAUAGGAGCUCCUGCUGCAUGGUGGGGGUUGGAAAGUUUCGGCGGUGGGGGAUGGACCCGCGGCUUAUCAGCUUGCUGGUGGGGUAGUGGCUUACCAAGGCUUUGACGGGUAGCCGGCCGGAGAGGGUGACCGGCCACAGUGGGACUGAGAUGCGGCCCAGACUCCUACUGGAGGGAGCAGUGGGAAAUAUUGCACAAUGGGCGGAGGCCUGAUGCAGCAGCGCCGCGUGCGGGAUGACGGCCUUCGGGUUGUAAACCGCAUUCGCCUGUGACGAAGCGAGAGUGACGGUAAUGGGUAAAGAAGCACCGGCUAACUACGUG